rnacentral:RNase_P_RNA from 1 species
GAAGUGGGCCGGACAAUCGCGGAACCUACAUGUGAGGUUAUGAGGAAAGUCCGGGCUCCACAGGGUGAGAAGCUGGCUAACGGCCAGGCGGGGUGACCCGACGGAGAGCGCCGCAGAAAAGAAGACUCCCACUGCCUCUUUGAGGUCAGAGAAAAGCUGAAACGGUGGUGUAAGAGACCACCAGCGUCGUGGCGACACGGCGGCUUGGUAAGCCCCUUCUGGAGCAAACACAAAUAGGGAUGCGAUCGUGUGACCCGCACGGCAUCCGGGUUGUGCGCUUGAGGGCACCGGUAACGGUGCUCCUAGAUAGAUGAUUGUCCUCGACAGAACCCGGCUCAUAGGCCCACUUCGUGC